GAGCGCCGAGGCUUCACGGUGGCCUGCUCCUUUCGCCAUUCAGGCCGUUGGAGAGCGCUCGCCUCACACGCGAGAGGUCGCUGGUUCGAGCCCAGCCGCGCCCA
rnacentral:tRNA from 1 species